UACGGGGGGAGCAAGCGUUGUUCGGAUUUACUGGGCGUAAAGGGCGCGUAGGCGGUCGUGACAAGUCACUUGUGAAAUCUCCGGGCUUAACUCGGAACGGUCAAGUGAUACUGUCGGACUAGAGUACAGAAGGGGCAACUGGAAUUCUCGGUGUAGCGGUGAAAUGCGUAGAUAUCGAGAGGAACACCUGCGGCGAAGGCGGGUUGCUGGGCUGAUACUGACGCUGAGGCGCGGAAGCCAGGGGAGCGAACGGG
rnacentral:rRNA from 1 species